rnacentral:rRNA from 1 species
AUUGAACGCUGGCGGUAGGCUUUACACAUGCAAGUCGGACGGCAGCACAGAGAAGCUUGCUUCUUGGGUGGCGAGUGGCGAACGGGUGAGUAACAUACCGGAACGUACCGAGCAGUGGGGGAGAACUAAUCGAAAGACUAGCGAAAACCGCAUAUCUUAUGAGGAAGAAAGCAGGGGACCACUUGGCCUUGCGCGGGUUGAGCGGCCGAGAUCUGAUUAGCUAGUUGGUGGGGUAAAGGCCCACCAAGGCGACGAUCCGUAGCGGGUCUGAGAGGAUGAUCCGCCACACUGGAACUGAGACACGGCCCAGACUCCUACGGGAGGCAGCAGUGGGGAAUUUUGGACAAUGGGCGCAAGCCUGAUCCAGCCAUGCCGCGUGUGUGAAGAAGGCCUUCGGGUUGUAAAGGCCUUUUGUCAGGGAAGAAAAGGGCGGGGUUAAUACCCCUGUCUGAUGACGGUACCUAAAGAAUAAGCACCGGCUAACUACGUG